UUUUUAAUUUUAUUUAUUAACAAUCUAGUUUUUCAUUCACUUUAAAUUGACCCUAAUUCGACUCCAUAGAACUCCAACAGGUUUUAACAGCCACGUUUUAUUUCUUAAUUUAAUUUUAUUCCGUUGUUUAACAUGGACAUCAUUAAACAUUUAGACUUUUUUUAAUUUUCAGAGAUAUUUUAUUGAAAAGUGAUUUGAUUGGCUUCCAUGCAGCAGCAGAGGGUGAGAUCCACUUCCUGUCUGAGCGUUCAGACGGAUGGUGACACGUUUGAGUCUGAAGAUACUAGGAUGGAUGAAUCCAGUCAAACUCUGAGUCUUCUCCAGAGACAGGAUAACAGUCAGAGCCGAGCGGAGUGAUGGCUCCAUCCAGGAAAGUGUGGGAACAGGUUGGAACAGGCAGGAAGAAGGUGUGAAAGCCGUAGGAGGCAGAGCUGAAGACGGUGAGGAUCUCUUUGGGAGUCACACAGAUGAAAUGAGAAGAUCAGAGCUGCUCCUCCUCUGCAGUGUGAAUGUUUUUCAACUAAAAUAGCAAUUUAAUGAAUUAAAAAGUUGUAAAAAUGUUUCUAAAUAAAGUUUAUUGAAAAUAAAGUACAUUUACAAAUAAAAAGUUGAGUAGAUUCAACGAGAUUCUUGAGCAGUGGGAUUUUUUUUUCCUAUUUUGUCUUCCUACAAAUUACUUGUUUUUCUUGCUGUUUUUCUUAUUUUAGACAUUUUUAUGAAGUAUACAGAUUGAGGGGCCCCAGGUCAUCAUCUACCUUUGCCGAGUGGUAAAUCCGCCCCAAUCCACCUGUAAGGUGGUAUUAGAUGAUCUCAAAUCCAGACCAAUCCAGAAGAGAAGGACGGAGGUGGCUGACCAAACACGGUGAAAACACUUACGUUAGAGAUGGAUGGAGAAGAUGAGCUCCAACAGAAGCUGCUGAAGGGAAGAGAAGAAGAAGACAUGAUGAGUCUUUGACCUCUUUUAGAGGUCAGGGCAAACAGACAGCCUUAAAAAGAGACCCGGCCGUUUGUCUUCAGGGUCCUAGAGGAAGCAGGAAACUUCUCCUGGAAACAACCUGGUUUCUGAGCUGAUUAUGUUCAAGAAAAACAUUUUUUGGUAUCAGCUGGUGCUUCAGGAAACAUUAUAAUAAUAAAAAUCUGCAGAUAACGA